GACAGAGGUGCCGAGCGUUAGGCGGAAUCACUGGGCUUAAAGCGUGUGUAGGCGGGUCCGUAAGUACCUUGUGAAAUCCCAUGGCUCAACCAUGGAACUGCUUGGUAUACUGCGGAUCUUGAGCCACCUAGGGGCAAGUGGAACAAACGGUGGAGCGGUGAAAUGCGUAGAUAUCGUUUGGAACGCCAAUGGUGAAAACAACUUGCUGGGGGUGUGACUGACGCUGAGACACGAAAGCCAGGGGAGCAAACGGG
rnacentral:rRNA from 1 species